CCUACGGGAGGCAGCAGUGGGGAAUAUUGGGCAAUGGGCGCAAGCCUGACCCAGCAACGCCGCGUGAAGGAAGAAGGCUUUCGGGUUGUAAACUUCUUUUGUCAGGGACGAAGCAAGUGACGGUACCUGACGAAUAAGCCACGGCUAACUACGUGCCAGCAGCCGCGGUAAUACGUAGGUGGCAAGCGUUAUCCGGAUUUACUGGGUGUAAAGGGCGUGUAGGCGGGACUGCAAGUCAGAUGUGAAAACCACGGGCUCAACCUGUGGCCUGCAUUUGAACCUGUAGUUCUUGAGUACUGGAGAGGCAGACGGAAUUCCUAGCGUAGCGGUGAAAUGCGUAGAUAUGGCGCAGAACCCCGAUUGCGAAGGCAGCAUGCCGGCUCCACACUGACGCUGAGGCACGAAAGCGUGGGUAUCGAACAGGAUUAGAUACCCCUGUAGUC
rnacentral:rRNA from 1 species